AUCAGGGUGGCUGCCACAGUCUGGCUGCUGAUCCAGUCUGUGCUUUCUUCAGCCUUAUCUGUUUUCUUUGGUGCCCAACUUGACUUCAGGCUGUGUUGAGAAUUGGAGGUAGAGGCCCAAGGUCAGGUUUGAUCAGUGAGGAAGUGGAGAUCACCUGGAGAGAGGCAGAAUGAGCCACUAGAGACCAUGGCACUUGGGCAGAGUCUGAAUAUGUUAAAUCUCCAGACAGGACACCUACACAUCUCGAUGUCCUCCAUGCUCUUCAGGAUGUAUCUGCCAAUCUCAGGUGGUUUUGUCUUCGUGUCCUG